rnacentral:lncRNA from 1 species
CCGCGCCCGGCCGUUUCCUUUUUAUUAAGUCUACAAGUUUUCCUUUGAUUACUGCUUUAGUGUUAUCGUAUGGAGUCCGCUACAGAGCAGACUUCAAAAAUCUUUGCAUCAGGCCUUUCACACAUCAACCAAUGAGCAUCUGAGUUGUUUCCAGACGGAGUUUCUCUCCUGUUGCCCAGGCUGGAGUGAAACGACAUUAUCUUGGCUCACUGCAACCUCCACAUCCUGGGUUCAAGCGAUUCUCCUGCCUCAGCCUCCUGAGUAGCUGGGGUUACAGGCACCAGCCACCACGCCCAGCUAAUUUUUUGUAUUUUUAGUACAGAUGGGAUUUCACUAUGUUGGUCAAGUUGGUCUUGAACUCCUGACCUCAGGCGAUCCACGCUCCUCGGCCUUCCAGAGUGCUGGGAUUACAGGCGUGAACCACUGCGCCCGGCUCACGAUGUUAAUCUUUACUCAAUUUCAUGUUUCCCCUCUAUAGGAAUAUUACAUUCCUGGCUUCAUUUAUUAAAUACCCCCAACUCUCCUCUGAUCUGGCAUAACCCUCUGUCGAUAUACCAGAGUUUAUAUAUGUAUGGGCUUUUUAAAUGAAC